ensembl:processed_transcript Gm9899 predicted gene 9899
GGCGCGGCGAGUGUAGUUACCGAUGGUGGUGAUGACGGUGAUGGCGAAGUAGAAGGAGCCGGCGAAGCGCCACUGCACGCCGGCCUUGUGCGGCUUGAGGCGCAGCACGACGCGCUCCAGCUCCUCGUAGCCGCCCUCGCUGAGGUUGUAGCGCGCCCGCAGCUCCAGCUGCCGCAGCUCCAGCCGCUGCCGCUCGAUCAUCUCCGGCUCCGACUCCAGUGCGUCGAACACCGCGGCGCCCACCAGCAGAACUUCUGCAGUCUCACCCUUGAAGCAGGGACACUGGAGGGACUCAGCCAUUACUGAGAUCACAGGCAGGCCAACAGGAAUUUUAUGAAAUGAGUUUUUCCAAAGCAUCCAUGACUUUUUAAAAAAGGAACACUUUGGUGGCAUCUAGAUCCCAGGUUUAUCAAGGAAGUAGGACCACGUAAACAGAAAUAGGCAUAUGCUGGUGCUCCUGACAGCAGAGGGAUGGGGCCACCCGGCCCUGCAGAGGUGGUCACGGACAACUAUUGAAGCGACUGUCAUCAGAGUCCUCAGUGAAGCAGGAUUCAAUCUGUGAUCAGUCUGGCUCCAGCCUGUGCUUCUCCCUCUCCGCCACGCUCCCUCACUAGAAAAUGACUGAGGGCAGAGCCAGGCAACAACAGGGGAAUCAGAACAGAAGGUGCUGUUAACGCUGGGCUGGCACACAGCUAGAGCUCAGAAAAAUGCAGUCACAUGAAUGAAUGAGGAGCUCUGAACGGAAGGCGCGGGGCAGGUCCAAGAAUCAGCAUCAGCGUUUCCCAUGGCUGGACAGAUGCUCAGCUUCAGGUGGAAAACAGGUCCCAGAUGUGAGCAAGGCCUGGUGACUAUAGCUCACACAGGGGCUCAGGGACAAAACCAUCAGGGAACAGCUCUGGACCCACUGAAGGUGGAGAUGAGGAAGGGAGGCAGAGCUAUCUUGGCACAGAGCUCGGGCACCCAGCCCAGGCAGGGACUCAGAAGGUCUCCGUGUCUGUGCAGAGCCAAAGGAUAUUGUUGGGGCUUUGAGCUGGUGCCUGAAGAAGAACGUCUAUCCAGGGGCCCUCAGAGACCUGAAGGGGAUGGGACCAUCCUACCCAUAUGGACCAGGGUUGCCACUGGGAGGGGCCCAAGGUGGGGGUGGGAUAUCCAGGCCAUGAGUGCAUAGAUCUCUGCUCAUCCAGAGAUGAUAUGUGUGGUCCAGUGAACCAUAGAAACCACGGUAUGUCAGGGAGAUGGAGGUCAGCUGGGAGGCAGCGCUCAAGCAGAAGGGCACAGCCAUCAGGGACAUGGAAAAAGUGAUGUCGUUAAGGAACAAUGUGAGCCAAAGGAAUGAGCUGUAACUGGCUGGACCUGAAAGGACAAGUGGGAAAGCGGCUGCCAGACGCCCAUGGGUGUUUGAUGAUGGCCUGCCACUACCCUGAGGAAGGGACUGAGCCUCAGCCCCGAGGCUUAGAAGAAAGUUACCCAGCAGGCCUCAUGGCCCUUCUCUGCCUUUAAUACUAUGCCCUUCACCCCUUGGUCUGUUAAUCAAUGCGUGAUAAAUCGAGUCCCGAAAGACCUCCUGUCCAGACUGCACUGCCCUGAUUUUCCAGAGAAGAUCCAAGAAGGCAGCAGGAGGAUAAAGACUGAGUUCUUGGUCAUGCAAGAUGGCCUAAGUCUCUCCCCUACCCCAGCUUCCAAGAGGGGAGUCAUGACCUCUUCUCCCCAAGAAAAUGGGACAAGGAGGACACUGACUCAGGCUUCUCUUUUCUCCUUUGGAAAGAGCUGAGAAAGGCCAGUCCAACCCUGUAGCUCCAAAAGAAAGCCAGCUUGAAGCUGAGGAGGCCUGGCUGGGAGAGAGACUCCUUGGGCCUCUCCUGGAAUGGUGGGCUGUGGAAAGUCCAAGCAGGGAUCUCAGCAGCCCUGAGAAGUCUAGGACCUGUCAGGACUGAGGAAGGGACACUGAGGACCGAGCUGAUCCAAAGUCUCUAACAGAUGACGAAGCAGGCCUAACUAGGGCCAGGGCCAGGCUGACAUGACUCCAGUGUGUGAGUUUCCUUGCGCCCCACCCCCAUGCUGUUUCCCACUGAGAAAAAUGUUUGUUGGCAUCAAAAUCCCUGGGACCAUGUUUAGGGUGGAUGGGGACCCCAUCUAUUCUUCUGCUACUCUGUGAGGUGCAACAUCUUCAUAGGGGGGUUCUCACCUGGCAUUUGGGGGGUAAAGGACCUUGUAGGACUGAGGGAGUGGGGCUGUAAAGGGUAGCUGAUUCCCAGUGGCUUGGUUGGGGCAGACAAAUGGCUACAUCAAGGCCUCCAUCCAAUUGCCAAUGAGAUUGCCAGAUAUGUGCAGACACGUGCUUCCCAAGCUCGGGUGUUUUCUUUAUCAUAUCUGUCCAUAUGUGGUUAUGUGGUCUUCCCCACUCCUCCACAGAUGACGGAUAGCUUUGGGGCUUCCUCAGACAGUAGAUGGGCGUGGCAGUACCCACACAAUCCCUACAACACACUGUGGUCUCUCUCCUCUCUGUAGACACCAGAGUCCUCACAAAAUGUUGUGGUUGUCCCUCCGCUGCCAGACAAGUCCCCUCACGGCUCCCAUUAGCAAUCCUGUCUUACCGCUGAUGUCUGAGCCCUUUGUCUCUUCAGGCCAGCUAUCUUUCCAACAGCUGGGGGAAGGACAGAAAGGGACACUUCUGGACAGAGGCUGAGACAGAGCAGGGAACUGAGGCAUGGAGCUCGCCUGAGCCUAGUUCAGGUUCUAAGCAUCCCUGUCCUCAGGUCCAGCAAGUGAGCUCUAGGGCUGCAGGGGUAGGGCAGCAGGCUGAGAGUCACUGUUCUGUUUUCUUAAGCUCCCAGCUGGGACUAGGAACACCAAAUCCUCUUUGAAUAAAACAGAAAAGGGAUUAAAAAAAAAUCAAGACAUUAACCUUGUGAAACCAGACCGCCCCUCUCACCCCCUCCCACCCCCGACACAUAGAGAUUAACUUCUUCCCCCAGGCUUUUUCUUUUUUUCAGUUUUCAUUUCUAUAAACAUCUUAAUUCAUGGCAACAUCACAGCCAGCCUGGAUUACAGAUGGAUAUAGAGGUGAAUGAAAUAGUCACACACACGCACAUACACACACGCACACGCACACACCUGGAACAGGGGGAAAGAACAGUGAAUGAGAUUCUAAGGAACCAGGAUUUUUUUGCUGGAGUUUACUUUCCUCGCCUGUAAAGGGAGUAGUUAGCCCUUCUGCCUCUGCCCUUCUGUGAACUCUGUCUUGUCUGCUAGUCCCUUCCAUCAGUGUCCUCUAUGCUGCCAGAGAGCCAGCUCCCCCCCUCCCCCCCACCCAUGGUGACACACCACACCAACUAGAAGUUUCCCUUCAUCCCCAGCACUGGAUGCUACUCUCCUUUCUAUAUCACAGGUUCCAGCAGGGCAAGGACAAGCUGCUACUGUCCCCUGCACCUGUGUAAUGACAGGUGCUCUACAGGUCUUUGUGAGUAAAUGAGUGGGUAACUCUGGAAGCUGCUCUUUAGGUACACUUGGGAUGGGGCUUAGCAUCUUGUAUGAAAUCUGAACCCAAAUCUUGAAAUAGGGUCACUCUCCUCUUGGGGUGAGGAGCACCUGACCUUUCUGGAAAGUUCUUUCCGUUUCCCUCCUGACUCCUGAGAAUGUCUCAAAGUCUCAUUUCUUUUGAAGCCUUCUUCCGAUUUGCCAGCAGCAUUACCCCAAUCAAGCAACAGAUUUUUCGACGCACGUUUUCUGUUCUUCCUCCCACCUUCGUCUGACAAGACGGAUCAUUUCCAUCCCUUAAUUAUGUUUUGGUUUGAGGCUGCAGCCAGCUGCAGUGAUUCUCAACUCUGGGUGGCAGUGGGGAGGAGGGUCAUUAUGGGAGCCUUGUCUCAGUCGAGACCAGGAGACAGGUGCUGGGUUCCUCCAUGGCUUUGAGGCUGGGGUAAAGGUGGAACUUCUGCAGGGUUCUGUCUUCGGUUGGGUCAAAGGUUCAGGGGAAUCCCACUUGGCUCUCAUUUUGGUCAGCAUUCCUCAAAGUAUGCUCAGAGACCAGGGUCCCUCGAGGUGUUCUGCAGAAGAAGCCCCAGCCAGCUCAGAUACAUUUGGGGGAACUCAGCUGCACUCAGCCUUUGAUUACAAGCUGCAAAAGUCAACUCGGCUAAUUUAAGCUCAGAAAGGAUUUAUCCCGGAAGACCUUGGAGAGUUCAGAGAACCUCCUGUAGGAGCAGAAAGUCAAGGUCAGAAGGGAAGCAGCCAGCGGCAACACUCAGUGUCACGUGUUAGGACUGAUCCCAGGAAGGCUCCACUGCUGAGCAGACACAGAGCUUAGGCCGCAGCUCUGCCAGCAUAGCUACCACUCAUACUUCCAUGCAACACGUUCUACAGAGUCCUUCCGUUUCUACACUCGAUUCUUCUGGGAGAAUGCAUCUCAUUGGUAGAGUGGAAUCAUGGACCUGCCUCCUAGAAUCCAGAGAAGCUGGGACAAUGAUGGGUUGAUCUAUUCAGCUCCUUCCUGUACCUGAAGGCAACCUCUGUCUCCUCAUACAUGGGCAUGGUGGGUUGAGUGAGAAUGGCCUACAUAGGCUCUUCUGUUUGAAUACUUGCUCCUCAAUUGGUUGAACUGUUUGGGAAGGAUCAGGAGGUCAUACCUUGUUGGAAGAGAUGUGUCACUGGGGGUGGGUUUCAAAGACCGUGUGCUAUUCCAGCUGAGCUCUCUGCUUCCUGCUUGUGGACUGAGACAAUCUCUCAGGGGUUGCUCCAGCUGCUUGCUGCCUCUCUUCUUCUGUCAUGGACUCUAACCCUCUGGAACCAUAAGCCCAAAAUAAACCGCUCCUCCCAUAA